rnacentral:rRNA from 1 species
AGCGAACGCUGGCGGCAGGCUUAACACAUGCAAGUCGAACGCAUCCUUCGGGGUGAGUGGCAGACGGGUGAGUAACACGUGGGAACGUACCUUUUUGUUCGGAAUAACUCAGGGAAACUUGAGCUAAUACCGGCUACGCCCUUAGGGGGAAAGAUUUAUCGCAGAAAGAUCGGCCCGCGUCUGAUUAACUAGUUGGUGAGGUAAAGGCUCACCAAGGCGACGAUCAGUAGCUGGUCUGAGAGGAUGAUCAGCCACACUGGGACUGAGACACGGCCCAGACUCCUACGGGAGGCAGCAGUGGGGAAUAUUGGACAAUGGGCGCAAGCCUGAUCCAGCCAUGCCGCGUGAGUGAUGAAGGCCCUAGGGUUGUAAAGCUCUUUCGGCGGGGACGAUAAUGACGGUACCCGCAGAAGAAGCCCCGGCUAACUUCGUGCCAGCCGCCGCCGUAACAC